rnacentral:rRNA from 1 species
GAGGAAAAGAAACUAACAAGGAUUCCCCUAGUAACUGCGAGUGAAGCGGGAAGAGCUCACAUUUUGAAUCGGCGGUCGCUGUCGGCCGUCCGAGUUGUAAUCUGGAGAAGCGUUUUCCGCGCUGGGCCGUGUACAAGUCUCCUGGAAGGGAGCGUCGCAGAGGGUGAGAACCCCGUCUACGACACGGACGACCAGGGCUUUGUGAUGCGCUCUCGACGAGUCGAGUUGUUUGGGAAUGCAGCUCAAAACGGGUGGUAAACUCCAUCUAAAGCUAAAUACGGGCGAGAGACCGAUAGCGAACAAGUACCGUGAGGGAAAGAUGAAAAGCACUUUGGAAAGAGAGUGAAACAGUACGUGAAAUUGCUGAAAGGGAAACGCUCGACGCCAGUCGCGUCGGCCUCGGGGGUCAACCUUGCGUUCGUUCGCUCGGCGUACUUCCCAGUCGACGGGUCAGCAUCGGUCUCGGUCGCCGUACAAGGGCGGGUGGGGAACGUGGCACUCUCCGGAGUGUGUUAUAGCCCCCUCGUCGGAUGCGGCGGCGGGGACCGAGGAACCCAGCGCCCCCCGUGCGCUCGGGAUGCUGGCAUAAUGGCCUCGAGCGACCCGUCUUGAAACACGGACCAAGGAGUCUAACAUGCCUGCGAGUGUUCGGGUGGCAAACCCGCGCGCGCAACGAAAGUGAAGGUCGAGACCUCCGUCGUGGAGGGCACCGACGCCCGGACCAGAGUCUUCGACGACGGAUCUGCGGUAGAGCACGCAUGUUGGGACC